CUGAAAAUGUAGAUAUAUAAAACAACAUAAAAAUUCUGUAUCAUACUAUGCUACCUUUUCAGGAUGAUACAUGCAGGAAUAGGGUCUACACAUGUGAACAACUUUCUUUCUGGUUUAAAUGUCCCUUCAGUCAAUCCAUCAACAAUCAAGAAGAAAGAAAAUGAAGUUGGAAAGAAAAUACAUGAAGCUGCCAUUGAAUCAUGUAAAACAGUUCAACAGCAAGAAAAAACAUUUAAGUAAUGGAAAGGUCAUGCUAGUAUGAUUGGGUCAAUCACUGGAAAAGUCAUGGACUUCAGUCUUAGGAGCCGCAUCUGCAAAGUAUGUGAAUACCAUCAGCAAAGAAAAGAAAUUGUUCCUGCACAUGACUGUAGCAAAAAUUGGUUUGGAUCGAGCAAUGGUAUGGAACCAGACAUGGCAGUUGAAAUGACCCUCAACCUUAAAGAUUCAGGAUGCCAAAUACAAGUGUUACAUGCUGACAAUGAUUCUACAACUACUUCUAGACUGAAAGUAGAUUUUGAUGACCUAGAAAAAAAGGAUGACCAAAAUCAUGUUAAAAAAGGAUUUUCAAAGAAGUUAUAUGAACUGUCAAAGAAAUUUAAAGAGUUGAAACACUCUGAUGUCAUCCCGUAUAUAGUGAGAUGCUUUAUGUAUGUUGUCAAAGAAAACACUGGAUCUGUAGAAAACAGUCAGCUAGCGUUGAAGAGAAUGGUUUUCAACAUAUUUGGAGACCACACUUUGUGUCAAAAUGCAGAAUGAUGCACAUAUGCAAAAGAUCCAUUCAAUUUUAAGUAUAGCAGUUUGCCAAAUGGUGAAUGUUUGUCAAAUGAUGCCCUGAAACAGGAGUUAAGUGAAGUGGUUGGGAAAUAUGAAAGGAGGGCAAACACCUCGCAGAAUAUGUGAUAAUAUUUUUUUUACUUAAUGAUUAAAAACAACUCCUCUCAUUUUAUGUUUUAAACCACACAUGUUUGCUGUAACUCAGACACAACCGUACUGCCUUUCCUCUUGUACACAUAAACUUGUUCAAUUGUUGAUGCACGGUUUUCCAGAUGAAAGUUAAUUAGGAAAAUCUCUUCGAAAUUAGAAAGGGUUAUAACGUGUAAACUUCAUUCCUCGUGAUGACAAUUUAUGAUAAUAUUUAGCGGUAAAUUUUAGUCACAUUUGAGUUCAUUGUCAAGACAAGUCUGGUCUGAAAUUUUGUUAGAUGUUUUUUAUCGGUACGAGGACUUAAGCACUUUGAACUGAUUUUCAAAGAUUCUGUCUUAUGUUGUGCUGUAUUUCCACAGUUCAAAGUAAGGGGAGUUUCGAUGCAAGAUUCCUUAUGCCUGUUCCAAGUUAGAAGCCUGCAGUCGUUGCAUUUGGUUUAUGUCUGUCAUAUUUGUUAUUCGUAAAUUAGUUUGUUUUAUUAUUUAGGCCAUUAGUUACAUCAGUCGAUAUUUUUUCAUGUCGAG